rnacentral:rRNA from 1 species
AGCGAACGCUGGCGGCAGGCUUAACACAUGCAAGUCGAACGCCCGGGCAACCGGGAGUGGCAGACGGGUGAGUAACACGUGGGAACGUGCCCUUCGGUUCGAAAUAACUCAGGGAAACUUGAGCUAAUACCGGAUACGUCCGCAAGGAGAAAGAUUUAUCGCCGAAGGAUCGGCCCGCGUCUGAUUAGCUAGUUGGUGAGGUAACGGCUCACCAAGGCGACGAUCAGUAGCUGGUCUGAGAGGAUGAUCAGCCACACUGGGACUGAGACACGGCCCAGACUCCUACGGGAGGCAGCAGUGGGGAAUAUUGGACAAUGGGCGAAAGCCUGAUCCAGCCAUGCCGCGUGAGUGAUGAAGGCCCUAGGGUUGUAAAGCUCUUUCGGCGGGGACGAUAAUGACGGUACCCGCAGAAGAAGCCCCGGCUAACUUCGUGCCAGCCGCCGCCGUAAAAC